rnacentral:lncRNA from 1 species
UUCAAAAGCAGGGUCUCAUUCAAUAUCAGAACCAACCACAACAAUACCAACAACAAGCAUCCAAAAAAAUUGAUUGGGAACUUGCCAUUGAAAAGAUGACAGCUCAAAAUUCUCAGUUCCAAGAAGAAACAAGAAAUAAUCAGAGGAACACUAUUGCUUCUAUCAAAAAUCUUGAAGUUCAGAUGGGUCAGAUAGCACAACAAAUAGCAGGUUCUCGAGCACAAGGUUCCCUAAUAAGUGC